CGUGCGCCGAGCUGAUAAAGGCGCCAUUUUGGAGGGGCCGCGGGAGACGUGGUGUAGCUGUGGGUUUGCUCUGCCGUUGGCUAGGCUUGGUGGGAAGACCUGUUCUCGAGUCCGCGCCUUUCGUCGCCGCCAUGUCGGGAGGUGGUGUGAUUCGUGGGCCGGCAGGGAACAACGACUGCCGCAUCUACGUGGGGAACUUACCUCCAGACAUCCGAACCAAGGACAUUGAGGACGUGUUCUACAAAUACGGUGCUAUCCGCGACAUCGAUCUGAAGAACCGCCGCGGAGGACCGCCCUUCGCCUUCGUUGAGUUCGAGGACCCGCGGGAUGCGGAAGACGCGGUGUACGGUCGCGACGGCUAUGAUUACGAUGGAUACCGUCUGCGGGUGGAGUUUCCUCGAAGCGGCCGUGGUACAGGCCGAGGCGGCGGCGGGGGUGGAGGUGGCGGGGCUCCUCGAGGCCGCUAUGGCCCCCCGUCCAGGCGUUCUGAAAACAGAGUGGUUGUCUCCGGACUGCCUCCAAGUGGAAGCUGGCAGGAUUUGAAGGAUCACAUGCGUGAAGCAGGUGAUGUAUGUUAUGCUGAUGUUUACCGAGAUGGCACUGGUGUCGUGGAGUUUGUACGGAAAGAAGAUAUGACCUAUGCAGUUCGAAAACUGGAUAACACUAAGUUUAGAUCUCAUGAGGUAGGUUAUACACUUAUUCUUUUGUUUGGCCAGAAUUGGAUACAGUGGUCUUAACAGUGGAAUUUGAAGGUAAGAUUCAGGCAAGGGUGUCCGAGUAAACCCAGUAAAGUGCCUCUGGUUUAAGUUACAUUGUAUUCAGCAUGCCUGAAGACAGGUGAAAGCUUAGAUCUUUCAAUCGAAAGUUCUGUCUAUUCAAUAGGGAGAAACUGCCUACAUCCGGGUUAAAGUUGAUGGGCCCAGAAGUCCAAGUUAUGGAAGAUCUCGAUCUCGAAGCCGUAGUCGUAGCAGAAGCCGUAGCAGAAGCAACAGCAGGAGUCGCAGUUAUUCCCCAAGGAGAAGCAGAGGAUCACCACGCUAUUCUCCCCGUCAUAGCAGAUCUCGCUCUCGUACAUAAGAUGAUUGGUGACACUUUUUGUAGAACCCAUGUUGUAUACAGUUUUCCUUUAUUCAGUACAAUCUUUUCAUUUUUUAAUUCAAACUGUUUUGUUCAGAAUGGGCUAAAGUGUUGAAUUGCAUUCUUGUGUAAUAUCCCCUUGCUCCUAACAUCUACAUUCCCCUCAUCUCUGGUAAAUUGUAUUUUAAGUGAUGUCAUAGACAGGAUUGUUUAAAUUUAGUUAACUCUCCAUGCUCUUCAGACUGUGAUAUUAUGUAAAUGUCUAUUCUGCUCUGGUUUGUGUGAACUGGGUUGUUGGGGGUGUUUGUGGUUAUCUUACCUGGGGAAGUUCUUAUGUUUAUCUUGCUUUUCAUGUGUCUUUCUGUAGACAUAUCUGAAGAGAUGGAUUAAGAAUGCUUUGGAUUAAGGAUUGUGGAGCACAUUUCAAUCAUUUUAGGAUUGUCAAAAGGAGGAUUGAGGAGGAUCAGAUCAAUAAUGGAGGCAAUGGUUUGGAUUGGAGAGGGCUCACUGGAUCCCAAUCCUUGGAGCUGGAUCAUUGGAUUCAAAUCAUAAUGUGGAUAGGAUAGGGAGGAUGAAUUACAAGGAUUCAUGGAGCGGGAUCAGAUUACCAGGAACAUAGGAGUGGAUUCCUGCCCCAACCAAACCGCAUUCGUGUGGAUUUUUUUUUUUUUUUUAUUCAACUUAAUUGGCUAUUCCAAAGAUUUUUUUUUUUCCUAUUUUUGACGAUUGGAGCCCUUAAGAUGCACGAUGGAAUUGUGUUUUGCAUUUUUUGGUAAAAGGAGCAAAGCGAGGACCUGGAGAUAUACGCUGGAGCAAUCUCCUUGGAAGGAUUCAGCACGAGUAGAUGGCCAAUGAAAGGGCGAGGAAGGAGCACCAACUCAGAAAGAGGGAGCCAUAAGAUCUGCAUGUAUUAAUAUGGUAACUCUUUGGAGACUUCUGAGAAACAGAAUCCUAUUUGAACUCUGGACUAUCCUCAAGUCUGAUAAUGAAGAAGAAAUUGAAGAGAUGUUUCUGUUGGGAGUUUGGGCUGACUGGUUCCCUGAUGUGUUACCUGCUUCUGCCACUGAUCCAAACUGCAGAACUUCUCAUUCGUUCCCAAGGCCUCCAGGCAGUGUCCAGUAGGGAAUCAACUCUAAAAGGAACCAGACCAACGUUUGCCAGCCCCUUCAUUCUGGUGACUGAGGGAAGAAAAGUGUGGGAAGGGGGUAUAUAUGUGUAGUCGAUGGAAAGGAAACACAGACUGUCAAAUUACUAUGCCUCUUCAGUUUCUUUUACCAAUAGAAUUCUUCAACCAUAUUAUUUUUUAUUGUGUAUGUAUGGGGGAAGUUGGAGAUGGUGACCUUGAUUAGAAUGUGAUUUAAGAGGAAUAAAUGGAGGGAAUGAGAUAAGAGACAGUCGGUUAUGAAAGAGGUUUAAGUCUUGAAAUAAUGUGACCAUCUGUGGAAUUUUUUAAAGCCAGCGUUUGCAAAAAUAUCACUGAUAGAGGCUGCCUCCUCAUUUCCCGCCACAGGAGACUUCUUGGACUGGAGGCACUUGUUUAAUAACAGCUUGUCUGUGAUAGAAAAUGUUCAGGGCAUCAUCAUACAAAGUUCCAGUAGCAGUGACGCCUACACGGAAGACUUGGAACUGCAAACAGAGGCUGGGGUCACCUCAGUGACAACUGACGCUGUCCAACCAGAAGUUCGAUUCUUGUUUUGGGGGGUGAGGAAGUAGACUGUACUAAAGCACUAAAACAA